rnacentral:rRNA from 1 species
AGCGAACGCUGGCGGCAGGCCUAACACAUGCAAGUCGAACGAAGCCUUCGGGCUUAGUGGCGGACGGGUGAGUAACACGUGGGAACGUACCUUUUGGUUCGGAACAACUCAGGGAAACUUGAGCUAAUACCGGAUGAGCCCUUAGGGGGAAAGAUUUAUCGCCGAAAGAGCGGCCCGCGUUAGAUUAGCUAGUUGGUGAGGUAAAGGCUCACCAAGGCAACGAUCUAUAGCCGGUCUGAGAGGAUGAUCAGCCACACUGGGACUGAGACACGGACCAGACUCCAACGGGAGGCAGCAGUGGGGAAUCUUGCGCAAUGGGCGAAAGCCGGACGCAGCCAUGCCGCGUGAAUGAUGAAGGUCUUAGGAUUGUAAAAUUCUUUUACCAGGGACGAUAAUGACGGUACCUUGAGAAAAAGCCCCGGCUAACUUCGUGCCAGCCGCCGCCGUAAUAC